UACGGAGGGUGCAAGCGUUAAUCGGAAUUACUGGGCGUAAAGGGUGCGUAGGUGGUUUAAUAAGUUAUCUGUGAAAUACCUGGGCUUAACCUGGGCAGGUCAGAUAAGACUGUUAGACUAGAGUAUGGGAGAGGGUAGAGGAAUUUCCGGUGUAGCGGUGAAAUGCGUAGAGAUCGGAAGGAACACCAGUGGCGAAGGCGUCUACCUGGCCUAAUACUGACACUGAGGCACGAAAGCGUGGGGAGCGAACAGG
rnacentral:rRNA from 1 species